GAUGAACGCUGGCGGCGUGCCUAAUACAUGCAAGUCGAGCGAACGGACGAGAAGCUUGCUUCUCUGAUGUUAGCGGCGGACGGGUGAGUAACACGUGGAUAACCUACCUAUAAGACUGGGAUAACUUCGGGAAACCGGAGCUAAUACCGGAUAAUAUUUUGAACCGCAUGGUUCAAAAGUGAAAGACGGUCUUGCUGUCACUUAUAGAUGGAUCCGCGCUGCAUUAGCUAGUUGGUAAGGUAACGGCUUACCAAGGCAACGAUGCAUAGCCGACCUGAGAGGGUGAUAGGCCACACUGGAACUGAGACACGGUCCAGACUCCUACGGGAGGCAGCAGUAGGGAAUCUUCCGCAAUGGGCGAAAGCCUGACGGAGCAACGCCGCGUGAGUGAUGAAGGUCUUCGGAUCGUAAAACUCUGUUAUUAGGGGAGAACAUAUGUGUAAGUAACUGUGCACAUCUUGACGGUACCUAAUCAGAAAGCCACGGCUAACUACGUG
rnacentral:rRNA from 1 species